GGGCGAGUAGCUCAGCCGGUUAGAGCGCACGGUUCACAUCCGUGAGGUCGGGGGUUCGGCCUCUUCGCCCA
rnacentral:tRNA from 1 species